rnacentral:rRNA from 1 species
GGGGAAUAUUGCACAAUGGGCGAAAGCCUGAUGCAGCAACGCCGCGUGAGCGAUGAAGGCCUUCGGGUCGUAAAGCUCUGUCCUCAAGGAAGAAUUUUGACGGUACUUGAGGAGGAAGCCCCGGCUAACUACGUGCCAGCAGCCGCGGUAAUACGUAGGGGGCUAGCGUUAUCCGGAAUUACUGGGCGUAAAGGGUGCGUAGGUGGUCUGACAAGUCAGGGGUGAAAGGCUACGGCUCAACCGUAGUAAGCCCUUGAAACUGUCGGACUUGAGUGCAGGAGAGGAAAGUGGAAUUCCCAGUGUAGCGGUGAAAUGCGUAGAUAUUGGGAGGAACAUCAGUGGCGAAGGCGACUUUCUGGACUGUAACUGACACUGAGGCACGAAAGCGUGGGGAGCAAAC